AUGCCUACAUCAAUCUCAAUAUUUGAUGCUAAACUCCAAACAUCAUUUGGAACUAGAAAUUGCUCUCCUGUAACACAUCAGUUCCACUGUCUGAGCUUAUACUGUGGUCCUAAGCUGGAAACGAUGAAGAGAGACAGAGACAGACAAGAGAGAGAUGGAGAAAGCCUACAUUUCCAUAUAAAGUCUUGCCCAAGGUCUACCACAAAGCCAGAAGUUUAGGUAUUUCAUGUUGCUGUGUAACAGGUCAUGUCAAGUUGUUUGAAAUGUUGGGAGCAGCUGUGCUUUGGAGUCAAAGGAUCUGUUUGUCAAUUCCAUCUCUGUUGGGUUGGGGUUGGGGCUGGGGGCUGAGAGUUUGACAGUGCUGGUGCAGAACACAUGUCAGAAUUCAAAUUCUGCCUCAGGCACUUAACAGAUAUGUGACCCUGGCCAAGCCACACAAACCUCCCUGAACCUCAUUUGCCUCCUAUAGAAAAGGGAGAUAAUAGUGUCAACCUCACAGGGUUGUCACGAUCAAAGGAGAAAUCAGAGUAAUCACAUGUAUUAAGCACCUACUCUUUGCCAGGAAUCAUGCUAAACUCUGGGGAUACAAAGAAGAGGGAAAAGGCAAUCCGUGCCCUCGAGGAGCUUACAGUUUUAAACAAAUUUUAUACAGAGCAAGCUAUAGACAAGAUAAUUAGAAAAUAAUAAAUAGAAGGGAAAGCAUUUGAACUAAGAGGGGUUGGAAAAGGCUUCCUGUAGGAGUUAGGAUUUAAAAUUGGGACUUAAAGGAAGCCAGAGAGGUCAUGACUCAGAGUUGAGGAGAGAAAGUGUUCCAGGGAUCGGGACAGCCAGAGAAAAUGCCUGAAGUGGAGAUAUGGAGUGUCUUGCUCAUGGGACAGCUAGGAGGUCAGUGUCACUGGAGGGAUGUAAAGUGCCAUGGGCUAAUACUACUUUUAUAAUUUGCAAUGAAAUGUAAGUGUGAUGGAAGCUACCCAGGCAUCCAAGUCAAUCUCUGGACCAUGAAAUCAGCAGGCUAUGUUACAACACACUCAAUUCUUUAAAUAAUCAGAUAAUUUCCAAAGGUGAGAGCAUAAGAAUAGGAACAGAGGGAGAUUGGGAAAGGGAGGGUGUCACUCAAUAGCCUCAGGAUGAGAUUAGGAAAGAAGCAUUUCCUCCUUGAAUUCAGACUUCUCUAACCUGAACAUUUUUGGCUAAAGCAUUAAUUGAAUAUGAUGCCAAGGAGCUGGUCUUAUUGGCUAUUCAGCUUCCUUGACCUCCUUUUAUACAAAAGGCCCCAUUGUUCUUUUAUUCAGAGGGGCGAAUAGGGUUCAGUCCAGGGUGUGAAUGGUCCCUGCUUGAUACACUCUUUUGAUCAGAGAAGGGCAAUCCAGCUCUCUCUCUCUCUCUGAUGCUGACAUGGGCUUUCUCAAUAUUUCAACCUCAACGAUAGUCUGAGAUGAGCCCUUGUAUAACCUCUUUGUGGACUUUGUCCUGACAGGCCUGAGGCUUUAUGAAAACCACAGGAUAGUUCUAUUCCAGGGCCUCUCUUACAUAUUUGCAAACUGGAAAGUUUCUGUUUUUCCCUGUGGUCUGGUAUUUGUCUAAGGAGGCUUCACAGCAUGUCAAAUGUCACUUGUAUGUGGAGGCUGCUUGGUCAAG
ensembl:lncRNA